GUUAAAAAAUAGUCCGAUUGCGCGCUCACAUUCUGUCGACGUGCUCAGUUUGUACAACGUAGUGUGACCGGUCUCCUCCAAAGCUUCUUAAUCGUGCUAACAAGGUUCGUAACAGUCAUCAGGAACUUAACAUGAUGCCCACAUUACAAGUUUGCUUUGUGCUGGUGGUUUUGGCGGGAGUAUGUACCGUCUGCUCGUCGUCAACAUUCGGCGAGGAAACCAACGACAUUGAACAACCCAUGCCUUAUGAGAUGCUUCUUGCCCGUAGAGGGCUUAUGUACGGCAAGCAAUGUCUAACCCAAGGAACCAGAUGCUCGCCGGACAUCUCAACAUGCUGUGGUUCCAUGGGUUGCUAUAGUUACCAAGGAGGAACCUGUGUAAACAAGAGCUGCAUUUGCCGAAACAGCAUGUACAGCUUUGAUUCCUUUAGCUGGUAGAAAUCUACAAGUACAUCAAUGACGCCUUGGUAGAAAUCUGC